rnacentral:rRNA from 1 species
GAUGAACGUUGGCGGCGUGCCUAAUACAUGCAAGUCGAACGAAGACUGUAGUAAUACUGUCUUAGUGGCGAACGGGUGAGUAACGCGUGGGUGACCUGCCCCGAAGUGUGGGAUAACAGUCCGAAAGGAUUGCUAAUACUGCAUAAUAUCCAAGAGAUUAGAUGCUUUUGGAUUAAAGGAGUAAUUCGCUUCGGGAGGGGCCCGCGUCCCAUCAGCUAGUUGGUAAGGUAAUGGCUUACCAAGGCGAUGACGGGUAGGGGACCUGAGAGGGUGGCCCCCCAAAUGGAACUGAAACACGGUCCAUACACCUACGGGUGCAGCAGUAGGGAAUAUUAGUAAUGGGCGAAAGCCUGAACUAGCAACGCCGCGUGUGCGAAGAAGGCCUUCGGGUCGUAAAGCACUUUUUGAGAGGAUGAGGAAGGACGGUACUCUCAGAAUAAGUCUCGGCUAACUACGUG